GUGUUAUUGUUAGUAGUAAUAAGUAGGAACUAUUUAAAAAUGAUUGCGGGGAGUAUUAAUGACGUGACACCGUUACCAUGGAGACACAACUGCCACAUCCGGACGCUCAGUGAAAAAGUUUUCACGCUGAAAAAAAAAAUCAUGGACUCGGAGUACUUAAAAAAACACCUGGGAAAAUGUCUGGCGGAGGGUCUCGCUGAGGUGGCCGAGCAGCGACCCGUGAACCCGGUCCUGUAUCUGGCCCACUGGCUGCACAACUACAACUCUAAUCUUGAAUAUGAGGCGGAGAAAAAGGCCCGAUUGGCUUUCCUGGAGCAGGAGCGUGAAAAAGCCAGAGAAGAGGCUUUGAACCAGGAAAAGCUGAGGGAGGAGGAGCUUAAGAUCAGCAAGGCCUUGGAAGAGUCUAAAAAAAUCUCUGAGAAGGAGUCUACAGGUUCUGAUGCACCGGCCACAACUGAAGCUGCUGAGGACAACGAACCUGUGAAAGAAGAGAAACCAAACACCCCUGAUCCAGAAAACCAGCAGGGCAAAGACGAACACCAAACUGAAGCUCGGGAUAAUGAUGCUGAACAGGAGGUGAAGGUUACAGAUAACAUAACCAGUCCAGAGUCUCCUGGCAGAAAACCCUCCCCAUCUGAAGCCCUCAGCACUGAGGUCAAAGAGGAGUCUACAGAAACGCCCGCUGAAAAAACCGAAGUGGAGCCAAAGAGCAAUCAAGUAGAAGAGAAAACACAGGUGGAGCCAAGUGAUAAUCAUGUAGAAGAGAAAACCGAGGAGAGGGCAAGCAGCAAUCAAGUGGAAGAGAAAGAAGUUGACCAAGAUGAAGAUGAGGUGGUUGAAACUGAAACUGCUGAACCUGAGCAGACUGAACCGUUACACUCAACUCCCAGACAAGACGCUGACGAUUUAAAAACAGACAAAACAGAAGAGCCACGUGACAAACCAAGCCCUCGUUCCCUUGAACAGAACACAGAGAAGGAAGUCAGUGAGGAUGACGUCCAAGCGGAGUCACCGUCAGUCCCUCAAACCAGAGGAGACAUUUUCUGCUGAGCAAAAGAUGACAGAAACUGAACAAGAGACACACAAACCAAGUUCUCUUCCUCUUCAGAACCAGGAAGAGGAGACAGACGGGCAACACACAGGUGAGACCACUGAUAGCACGGCUUCAGCUGAGAGUGAUGCAACAAUAGAGAAGACGGUGCCAUAAGGAGAACCUGAAAAGUCACCUUCUGAUGAGGCAGACAUUCAGGAGAAGGUAGA